GGCACUGUGGCGGAGUGGUUAACGCGACAGAUUAGAAUUGCAUAGUUUAGCCAGUCUAUUCAUCUGUUCCACUUGUUGGGCGCAUGUUCGAAUCAUGCUAGUGGUCG